UCAUCCCUAUCCAAGCCAUCAUAUACAAAGGUUGAGCACCACUUGUCUAAUGUAUUAGCAAAACUACACAGUAAACCCUGGCACAACCACUGUAAACUGAUGCAGGUAAAGCAGGGGGACCACAGUGGCUCAUGUUCUGCCGUUGCAAGGAAGAGGGCCAUGCCCCCUGCUAAAGAAAAAGGAGAAAGGAAUUUACUAUGGGAAGAAAAAGUGCACUCUACUAUGUCCUGGGAAGGAAAGAUAUCUCACUGAAUACCACUGUCUUCUUCCAAUGACCCUUCCACAGAUGCAUCUCCCAAAUUCAGGCCUGAUCAUGCUGGGCACCACCAAUAAGAGUCAGAUGAAGUACUCCUGACUGGGCACCUGUUUGAGCCUCCUCUUUGUCUGUUUACACUGUCAGAAGACAGAAUGAAUGUGAUCUCAUCCUGAUGCCAGUUUCUCCACAUUACAAAACCACCAUGUAAAAUGGCACAAUUGCUUGUCUCUAAGCAAGGACCAAGACUGAGCACAGCACUUCCUUUUCAACAAAAGAGGUAGAGUGAGCAAAAAUUUUAUCAUGCUCCUCAAAGUUCACUAAAAUCAAGGUCUCAUGAGUUUUGUAAGAUUGGAUGCACUUCAUCCCUAUUUCACUGAUGGGAUAACUGAGACACAAAAAGGGUGCAUGCACAGUGGGAGCAAGGAGUGGCUGAGACUAUUUAGUCUUUUUUUCUGGUUCAGACCACAGGAACACAGGAAAUUAAAGAAUCUGCUUGAUUGCAGUGGUACAAACCAUGAGUCUCAUCCAAGACAUGUACUAACAAGAAGGCUAUCAUUAUUUGCAACAACUGAGAAGAUAAUUAGAAACCUACCAAUGCUACAGUCAUAUUUCCUGUCACAAGAAGACGAUGACACACCAAAAAUGGAUUUAGAAAUCUUUGCUGACAGCAAAAGUGGGAAGAGUAUAGCAUGAACCUCCUCUGAUAUAAUUAUAUUACAAUAUUCAGCAAUCAUGAUUCUAACAUAGCUGUAACAACUGCAUUCCUGAAAGCACAAAGCCUGCAUCUUGUUUCAAUGGAAGCUUUGCCUGAGUAAGGACAGUAGCCCACAGUGUUUUCAGCCUUUGAAGACUACAAUAGCUUAUUUUAGGCCAUGAAUUCAGAUUCUUCACAACCAUCAGAAAAGCCAAAGACUGUAAUAUAACAUUUGGACAAAGUUAAAUAUCUUUAUCUAGGGAUCUACUUUUUUGUUUUUUCUGGCUUUUUUAAAGUUGCAGAAAACUACUUCUGGGAACUGAAUAUGAGAUUUUGUUCUGCUUAUGGUAUUUUCAGUAUAUUUGUUUCUUGCAUGUUAAAUGAAAACAGUAAGCAGAUUUUUAGUGGAUGUAAAUCAGUUUUCUUUAAUGGAACUAUGCCAGUUUACAGUAGCCAAUAGAUCUGGCUCUAGAUCUCAUAUCGCUUUGCUGGGAUGCAUUAAAAAAAUCUAGUAGAAAAAUGUGAACAUAUAGGCUAAGCGCAGACAGUCAGAAAGCCUAAAGCUGAAUUGAUUCAAUCUUUGCAGGUUAGUCU